GAUGUGAUUGCCGAGAGGUUAAAGCGUUGGACUCGAAAUCCAAUGGGGUUUCCCCACGCAGGUUCGAAUCCUGCUCACAGUGAAUCU
rnacentral:tRNA from 1 species